rnacentral:misc_RNA from 1 species
GAUGAAGAACGUAGUGAAAUGCGAUAAUUAAUGUGAAUUGCAGAAUUCAGUGAAUCAUCGAAUCUUUGAACGCACAUUGCGCCCGCUAGUAUUCUGGCGGGCAUGCCUGUCCGAGCGUCAUUUCAACCCUCAAGCCCCCGGGCUUGGUGUUGGGGAUCGGCGAGCCUCCGCGCCCGCCGUCCCCUAAAUCUAGUGGCGGUCUCGCUGUAGCUUCCUCUGCGUAGUAGCACACCUCGCACUGGGAAACAGCGCGGCCACGCCGUUAAACCCCCAACUUCUGAACGUUUGACCUCGGAUCAGGUAGGAAUACCCGCUGAACUUAAGCAUAUCAAUAAGCGGAGGA